GUUUGCUUGCUCGCUUGCUGGCUUUUUCUUUUCACUUGCCAAAUCCUUGAAGCACAUUCGGAACAAUGCAGCUUGAAAGCAGUUAGCCCGUUUCAGCGCACAUACAGAAGAGCGCCCAAGUUCAAGUUCGCGUUUCCACCACAGGUAGAAAAACUGCUUUUUCCUUUUGGAGGAAAAGACCGAGAUCAACAACCAUGGCGUCCAAAGUUGAAGCUUCAGUUGAGGGAAAUGAGAUUCUGUUUUCCACGUGACACUGAGUUUGUGUUCCAAGGGCAGGACUCUACCAAAUCAGGGCUGUCUUUUUUUCCGGGAGAGUGUGGAUGCUACAUGGUGGGUUUUGGGGGGGGCACCCAAUGGAUGGAGUUGAAGCGUUUCCCCACCUGUUUAUUACCGGCCAACACAGAGGUGGCAUUGCUGCUCUGUCCCCGAGAAGGCUCCUCUCACAAUUGACUUAUUUUGCUCAUCAGCGAGAACAUGAAAAUGUCUUUUUCACUUCUCUGUGAUCAUCUCCCCAGCUCAGCGACUUCGUGCGCCCCUGUUACUUUGAUUUAUUCAAAUGAUGUAAAAUGUCAACCUAUUGAGAUCCGGAGGGGACCGUGGGUAGUGUCAUCCAGUGCCCUGAAAAGCCAACGGAUUUCAACUCUGAACGGAUGUCAGCGAGGGGCAAAAAGGGAUGACAAAAUGGAUUCGCCGGCUGGCUGCAGUGAAUGGUCGUGUGUGUCCUCGGCGCCGAGGGCUGGAGGGUCACAGCUGAAGACCUCCUGAGAUUCACGGUCUAGGUGGGGACACAGACGGUGACAAGCUGCCGCCAGCCCCUACUGGCUCAGGAGGGUUAAUAAGUGUUCGGGAAUAUUGCAGACCAACUGUGAAACACACCAGUGUCAUAAAUUGAAUUAUAUAAACUUACCAUUAAAUAAAAUAGAAUUAAAACAAAG
rnacentral:lncRNA from 1 species